rnacentral:rRNA from 1 species
CACGGGAAGGGCAAGCGUUAUUCAACAUUACUGGGCGUAAAGAGUCCGUAGAUUGUAAAGUAAGUUAUAAGUGAAAAUUUAAAGCUCAACUUUAAAAAACUUUUAAUACUACUUUUCUUGAGUUUUAUACAGAAAAAUAGAAUUUUAUAUGAAAGGGUGAAAUCUGUAAAUAUAUAAAGGAAUACCUGUAGCGAAGGCGAUUUUUUAGUAAAAACUGACAUUGAGGGACGAAAGUGUAGGUAGCAAACAGG